rnacentral:misc_RNA from 1 species
GAUGAAGAACGUAGCGAAAUGUGAUAAGUAGUGUGAAUUGCAGAAUUCAGUGAAUCAUCGAAUCUUUGAACGCACAUUGCGCCCCUUGGUAUUCCAUGGGGCAUGCCUGUUCGAGCGUCAUUUGUACCUUCAAGCUCUGCUUGGUGUUGGGUGUUUGUCUCGCCUCUGCGUGUAGACUCGCCUCAAAACAAUUGGCAGCCGGCGUAUUGAUUUCGGAGCGCAGUACAUCUCGCGCUUUGCACUCAUAACGACGACGUCCAAAAGUACAUUUUUACACUCUUGACCUCGGAUCAGGAAGGGAUACCCGCUGAACUUAAGCAUAUCAAUAAGCGGAGGA